UACGUAGGGGGCAAGCGUUGUCCGGAAUCAUUGGGCGUAAAGCGCGUGUAGGCGGUCCGAUAAGUCCGCUGUGAAAGUCCAGGGCUCAACCCUGGGAUGCCGGUGGAUACUGUCGGGCUCGAGUCCGGAAGAGGCGAGUGGAAUUCCUGGUGUAGCGGUGAAAUGCGCAGAUAUCAGGAGGAACACCAAUGGCGAAGGCAGCUCGCUGGGACGUGACUGACGCUGAGACGCGAAAGCGUGGGGAGCAAACAGG
rnacentral:rRNA from 1 species